GAUCCUGGCUCAGGACGAACGCUGGCGGCGUGCCUAAUACAUGCAAGUCGAGCGGAUCUGUUUGAAGCUUGCUUCAGACAGGUUAGCGGCGGACGGGUGAGUAACACGUAGGCAACCUGCCCGCAAGACCGGGAUAACGUAGGGAAACUUACGCUAAUACCGGAUAGGGCAUCCUCUCGCAUGAGAGGGUGCGGAAAGGUGGCGCAAGCUACCACUUGCGGAUGGGCCUGCGGCGCA
rnacentral:rRNA from 1 species